rnacentral:rRNA from 1 species
GAUGGAGCACGCCGCGUGUGUGAUGAAGGGCUUCGGCUCGUAAAACACUGUUGUCAGAGAAGAAUGACAUUGAGAGUAACUGUUCAAUGUGUGACGGUAUCUUACCAGAAAGGAACGGCUAAAUACGUGCCAGCAGCCGCGGUAAU